UUAGCUUGUUCUCAGCCUGAAGCAUUUACUUGAGCGCUCACUGCAAGACAACUCCGCUGGCAGCACGGCUGAUCAGGUUUUCCUUGCUUGGUCUUGUUUUUAAAUCUGGAUAUGUCUUGAUUUCCACAUUCGUUUUGUACAGAAUCCGUUCCCCCCGACGCUCUCUGCCCACCUUUGCCUUGUCUUCAUAUAAACUGGUUUGUCUUCAAAGAAAAUGCAGGUUGAGAUCCUGAUGGCUUCAAGAAGAGGAAAUGCCUCUAACAACUUCUGUCCCUCAGGCUUCUGGCAGAGCAGAGAAUACUAUAGGCUUCUGGGGACAGUACUGGCAAAUCUCCGAGUCACAUCUAACACUGACACGGAGUGAUGGUGCACUUCUGAGUGACCCCCCACUUCAGGAGCUUGGUACUCAGUGGGUGAGUUGUACAGAAGUCCCGAGUCUCCUCAAUGUGUCAUCACACCAUCAUGAACACUUGAAGUCCUAGAAUUCUCUGUGGUGCGUGCCUGUCCUGGAGCCUCCAUCCCAUGAGGUGGAGAUGAGACAGGAAAGAACUCCUGCCUUUCACCCACACUUGUGUGAAAGAGCCGCAGCUGCAGGUAACAGGGAAAGGGCCACCAACUGGGAGCCAAGUGUCCAAAUGCAUGGGAACACUUCACAUUAAACCAUCACCAAGCUCCACAGUAACAGAAGAUGAGGCUCAUCUGUUUUCAUUUAGUGCUCUUUGAAUUUGUUCCAAAAGAACUUCUUCAGCCAUGAACUUGAAUAUCACAUAAUUAGUGAGGCAUCCAACUGACAGAGUCCAGUCUGGACAGCUGAUAUGAAGCAUAAGCAUCUGUUAGCUUAAAAUCUCCUGACAAGGACCACGAGAAAGUACGAACCAGCAUCCCCUCCUUCCAAACGUAAGACGCUAGACUUGGGAACAGAAAGCUGGCUCUUGCUGUACACAGCUGGUACUAACUCUAGAUGUUUGCUGAAAUAAAACGGGUGACUCAA